rnacentral:lncRNA from 1 species
UCCAUACACAAAAUAUAGAAGACCUACAGUAUCUGAUAUAUGGACUUGACCACCAAAACUUUACAUUGUUCACUGAUCCAUGAAAUGAGGUCAAGGUCAAAUGAAAACUGUCUGAUGGGCAUGAAGACCUUGCAAAAUAUGCACAUACUAAAUAUAGGUAUCCUAUUACUCAUACAAAGAGAGAUUAACAUUUCAAAAAAAUCUUUAACUUUUUUUCAAGUAGUCACUCAGCCAUGAAAAUGAGGCCAAGUACAAUGAAUAUAUGACAUAAGGCAUAUAUGUAAAAAGCAUGAAGCAUCUAGGUCUUCCACCUUCUAAAAUAUUAAGCUUUAAAGAAGUUAGCUAAUGCUAACACCGCCAGAUCACUAUCCCUAAAAAUGGUUGUGUUUGUCAGAAUUUUUGUUCAAAGUUUCCUGUUUGAAAGUUGGGUAUCUAGAC